AUUCACUCCCCACCCACCUACAACUCCUGCCAGCACUUACAAACCUGUAAGAUUUUCUAUUGCCAAAAGAACAUCUUACAGGUUUGGAAAUGACACAAGUAAAUGAUGACAGAAUUUCUAUUUUAGGUUAACUAUUCCUUUAAUAACAUUAGCCACAAGUAAGGGUCAAAAAGAUUAGAUUAAAUCUACUGAAAUGUUCCCUCAGCUUGUAUGGAAAAGUCCCGUCUUCUUCCGAGUCGCCGCCUGGUCUGCUGUGACAUAUGUUUAAAGAAUUGUCAUCGGGAGCGAUCAGAUUAAUGUCAGUGCUGGUUUCAAGAUUACAUUUCUCAAAUAAAAUCUCAUUAUACAAAACUGUUUUUCUCAUUUCAGAGCUCACGGGAAGAGAGGGAAAAGGAAAGGUCAUGUUUGGACUCAAUGGUUCUGUUAAUAAUGAAGUUGGAUCAGCUGGACAAAGAGAUUGAGAAUGCUUUAAGCUCCUCCCUCAAUGGCACUCCCAAUUUAAAGAGGCGGAUCAUCUCGGAAGUGGAUUUAGAAAUGCUGGAUUCAGCGGGAAGUCUUUCAGCCUCAUCGCAGUCUCUAAACACCCCACUUUAUCGCUCUUCGUCAUCAUUGGCAUCAUCAGGAACUUCUGGGGCUAGACCAAAAAAUGAGGUUAGUUAACCAAAACCUGCAAUUACCUGUUGUGGAACAAUUUAUCAAAUCAAACACUAAUAACUUAUACAAGGCUUGCAGUUUCCAGUCUACUGAGCAGGUCAGCUAUUCACUGAUGUGAGGAGCACCUUUACAUACCAUUCAUACAUUCCCAUGGCUCUGGAAUUGGUUAAACCCAGUGUCAGUCAUCUCUUAAGUGUCUCUUAAGUGUCCAACAUUUACAUAUGCUUUUCCAUAUGCUGAAUGACAGUAAACAGUAAAUUAGAGUGUGCUGUGGUUCCAGCAGCCACUUUAAAGUGUACUUGAGGAAAGAUUCUCUCUCUCAUCUUGUCUCUCAUUUUCUUUCUCUCUGAGUGGCUAAAGCUGCUGAAACAUGAUAAUAACAGCUUUUACUGUCUGCCAGCUUUUACUGCCAGCUUUUACUGUCUGUCAGCUUUUAUGGUUUAUUUCCACCAGCUAAAACACACUGAAAAUCAUUCCUUACAGUCUUCCCCUCAUGCACAUGUCUGGAUGUCUGUGGAUGCGAGUGAGAUUUUGUGUGAGUUUGCAUUCUGAGGUGAGCGUAAGAAUCUUCUUUUUGAUUACCCAUUACAUGCUUGUUGUUUGUGAAUCUAAUCUGGACUCAUAUUUCAAUAUGAUUCCUUUUGCUUUAUCUUUCAGUCUGUAGUCAUCUUGACUGAGGUAAUGUUAAAAUGAAGCAAGUUGCUUGUUGAAUUACUGUAUCCAUUUAAUCUUGAUUAAUGGGUCAACAUAGCAGAGUGCUUAGACAGAGGUCAAGGAGAUGAGAGAUGAGAAAUAGAGCCAGAAAGAAGAUCAUUAAACACUAUAAUAAAAGGCAAAGGGAAUGCA
ensembl:lncRNA